AGUCCGAAACGUGAUGGCGGUGCCUUAGAGCCACAAGUGAUUGAGCCAUGCCGCCAAGAAAAGCUUCUAAGCGUCGAGAUUUGAGUGACCGUACCGCAAACCGACACUGGUAGGUGGGUAGAAUAUACCAAGGGGAGCGAGAGAACCCUCGUUAAGGAAUUAGGCAAAUUUCCCCCGUACGUUCGCAAUAAGGGGGGCCUCUGGCGGUUAGCUAGGCAAAGCUGCUGGAGGCCGCAGAGAAAUGGCUCUUCCAACUGUUUAACAAAAACACAGGUCUCUGCUAAGUCGAAAGACGAAGUAUAGGGGCUGACGCCUGCCCAGUGCUGGAAGGUUAAGGGGAGAGGUUAGGGGUAACCCGAAGCUUUGAGCCGAAGCCCCAGUGAACGGCGGCCGUAACAAUAACGGUCCUAAGGUAGCGAAAUUCCUUGUCGGGUAAGAUCCGACCCGCACGAAUGGCGUAAUGAGAGGAGCACUGUCUCAACGAGGGACUCGGCGAACAUUGAAGGACGUGUGAAGAUACACGUGACCCGCAGCGGGACAAAAAGACCCCGUGAAGCUUUACUACAACUUGCCAUUGAGUUAGGGCUAAACCUGUGUAGCAUAGGUGGGAGGCUUUGAAGCUGGGACGCCAGUCUCGGUGGAGCCACCGUUGAAAUACCACCCUGGUUUAUUCUUGGCUCUAACCUGUCGCCGUUAUCCGGCAUGGGAACAGUGGCUGGUGGGUAGUUUGACUGGGGCGGUCGCCUCCGAAAGCGUAGCAGAGGCGCCCAAAGGUUCCCUCAGGCUGAAUGGAAACCAGCCGUUGAGUGUAAAGGCACAAGGGAGCUUGACUGCAAGACCUACAAGUCGCGCAGGGACGAAAGUCGGGCUUAGUGAUCCCACGGUUCAGAGUGGAAUGGCCGUGGCUUACCGGAUAAAAGCUACUCCGGGGAUAACAGGGUAGUCUGGUCCAAGAGUUCAUAUCGACGACCAGGUUCGCCACCUCGAUGUCGGCUCAUCACAUCCUGGGGCUGGAUAGGGUCCCAAGGGUUGGGCUGUUCGCCCAUUAAAGUGGUACGUGAGCUGGGUUCAGACCGUCGUGAGACAGGUCGGUCUCUAUCCGCUGUGGGCGUAAGGGAUUUGAGAGAAGCCGCCCCUAGUACGAGAGGACCCGGGUGGACGGACCUCUAGUGUGCCAGUUGUUCUGCCAAGAGCAUUGCUGGGUAGCUACGUCCGGCAGAGAUAACCGCUGAAAGCAUCUAAGUGGGAAACUCGUCUCAAGAUUAGAUCCCUCCUCUUUAUGAGGUAAGACCGCUGGAAGACUACCAGCUUGAUAGGCGGCAGGUGUAAGCAUAGUAAUAUGUUCAGCUUAGCCGUACUAAUGGUCGUAAGGCUUACAUUG
rnacentral:rRNA from 1 species